CAGGUAGAAGUUGUGUCCCGCACCACAGUCCCUGAGCCCCAGGACACUACUGCUGAAUAAAGAACUCCAGGUAGAAGUUGUGUCCCGCACCACAGUCCCUGAGCCCCAGGACACUACUGCUGAAUAAAGAACUCCAGGUAGAAGUUGCCCCUAAACACUGAUCUAGGAUCAGAUUCCACCCCCAGAUUCUAACCUUAAAUGAUAAUGGGGAAAAUGAAAAAUGUAUCUAAAGACCGAACGUAUGUGCUCGCAUACACCCCUAAAAGACCUUUGCUUGAAAAAAUAGAAAUAGUACUGUUUGUCCAUUUGGAAUGCCGUAGCCAGUACACACUUCCUCAAAAUAAUCAGAAUGAAUCUAAAAUAACUUUAGAAAUCUGUCAUACAUUUUUACGUUUUUGCCGAGGAGAUCUUAGUCGCGCAGUUUUACAGUGGUGGGAAAAGUACUCAAUUGUCGUGACUUAAGUGAAAGUAAAAUACUACUUAAGUAAAAGGCUAAAAGUAUUUGGUUUUAAAUAUACUCAAGUAUCAAAAGUAAAUGAAAUUGCUAAAAUAUACUUAAGUAUCAAAAGUAAAAAAUCAUUUUAAAUUCCUUCUAUUAAGCAAACCAGACGGCGUAAUUUUCUUGUAGUUUUAAUUAACGGAUAGCCAGGGGCACACUCCAACAUAAUUUACAAACUACUCAUUUGUGUUUAGUUCGUCCGCCAGAUCAGAGGCAGUAGGGAUGACUAGGGAUGUUCUCUUGAUAAGCGCGUUUAAUUUGACAAUUUUCCUGUCCUGCUAAGCAUUCAAAAUGUAGCGGGUAGUUUUGGGUGUCAUGGAAAAUGUUUGGUCAUAAAAAGUAUAUUAUUUUCUUUAGGAAUGUAGUGGAGUAAAAGUAGUAAAAAAAUAUAAAUAGUAAAGUACAAAUAGCCCCAAAAACGAAUUAAGUAGUACUUUAAAGUAUUUUUACUUAAGUACUUUACACCACUGCAAUUUUACAUCUAACUAAGAUGUUUGGUGCAGUAUUUCACAAUGAAAGAAUUUGCAUGAAAACGUGUCAUUUCUCAUUGAAUGACAACAGACUUUAUAGAGCCCCACAGUGGAGGUGUUAUAAUACCCAUAAAACCUAGCGGUCAAACCGGGAAAUGGUUCCAGUCGUUUUUCCACCAUACAUUUUUCCCAUAGGGGAUUUUAGAUACACUUAAAAUAAGGGCUGUGUUUCGUGUAGGCUUACCCUGGUGUGAUGUUUUGAUAACCAUGUAAAUCUCUAUUGGACAAGGUGACUUUUAUCAAUAUAUUCGGCUCUAUUUACUUUGAUUCUAAAAUGCUAAUUAGCAUCAAAGUUGACAUCAUGCAAGACUACAAAUCCCUGCAAGCUCCUGCACGUCACCUGUUGCUGACAUCUUUGUAUUGUGUUCAUUUAAAACGUGCACAAGACCGUAAACAGAAUUGUCAAUUUAAAUUAAAUGUUAAUGUAUUCAUUAGUACAUUUAGCUAACAUUAGAUAAUUAAUAUGCACAAACACAUCCAAACUGUUUUGGCUGGGAAACAUGCGGACUCCUUAAGAUCAGCGUCCGGGGCAACUUCUCCUGACUUAAUGUUUAUGUCCCAAAUGGCACCCUAUUUCCUACAUAGUGCACUACUUUGGGUCCUGGUCAAAAGUAGAGCACUACAUAGGAAAUAGGGUGCCAUUUGGGAUGCAUCCCAUAUAAAUACUGUACAUAUCUGAGAGAGACUAAAAAGUGUGCUCAUUUGCACCCAGCACAAUCUCAACUGAAGCCUGAUGUGAGGGCAGGUGAGGUGAUGUGAGGUGAGGGCUUGGCAGGUGAGGUGAGGGAAGGUGAGGUGAGGGCAGGUGAGGUGAGGGCAGGUGAGGGCAGGUGAGGUGAGGGCAGGUGAGGUGAGGUGAGGGCAGGUGAGGUGAGGUGAGGGCAGGUGAGGUAAGGUGAGGGCAGGUGAGGUGAGGGCAGGCCUGUCUUGGUUUGGACCUGUUCUACUGCUUCUGACCUACUGUUUUGAUGUCUCUAAUGUUCUUCUAAGCUGUUGAAAUAACAAGCUUUUCUAAUCAAAGUGCUUGUCUGUCGUGUAACUUUUCCAUAAGCACACAGCUCACACCUUCAAGAUAAUUCUCUGAGAUGAUCAUUUUCUCCAGUGUGAGGAUCAUCAAAGCAAGACAGUGCCGAUCUGAUGUUACUUCUUCAACUCAGCCCAUUUUGUUGUCAAUACAGAAGAUCAUUCAGUCACAUUUAUUCAUUCACUCAGAGGGAGAGAACAUUUCAACACUGCUUAUUCUACCACUCAUCUCAACAGUUUUUCUGUUGUAGAGUUAUGUUUUUGUUGAAAAGGUAACAGCAGCUACACCACAUUUACUUAAAGAGGAUCCUUUGAGCCAACAUCCUGUCAGCCGGCCCAUAAACACCUCAAGGGGACAGUUCAGCAGGCCGUAGGGAGGGGAGGGGGGUAAACAGGCCUGUAGCCCUUCCAGUCAAUACAAGCAGAGAAGAAGAGGGGGGAAGUCAGGAAGGGAGGGAGGAGGGGAGGAGGGAUACAGAGGCUAUUCUCCCUCUGAUGUAGUCCUGUUGACAAUGGGAGGAGGGCUUGACACCUUGCUCUUGGUUCUAGCAGGUAGAUUGCUCCUCCUGUCCUAUCCUCUCUAGCCCUGACUGGAGACUGAUGGUGGUGGGAGACAGAGGUUGUAUCCCAAAGUUCCUAUCUAGAACAUUACGUUUGACCAGGGCCCAUAGUGUCCUGACCUCUCCUGUCUUGAGGGGAGAUCUUCCCUCCCUGUGUCUCCUUGUCUCGCUCCCUCCCUGUCUUCUCUCCCUCCCUGUCUUCUCUCCUUCCCUCCCUGUCUUCUCUCCUUCCCUCCCUCCGUCUUCUCUCCUUCCCUCCCUCCGUCUUCUCGCCUUCCCUCCCUCCCUCCGUCUUCUCGCCUUCCCUUCCUCACUGUCUCCUCUCCCUCCCUGUCUUGUUCUCACCCUCCCUUCCUGUUCUCCCUCCCUCCUUCCCUCCCUGUCUUCUCGCUCUCCCUCCCUGUCUUCUCAUCUGCCCUCCCUUCCUGUCUUCUUCUCUCCUUCCCUCGCUCCCUGUUUUCUCUUCUCCCUACCUCCCUUCCCUCCCUCCCUUCCCUCCCUC
rnacentral:lncRNA from 1 species